CAGAUUUUACCUGUUAACAUUUUUAGCACAACAACACCUGAUGUCAGUGAGAUGUCUAUCACUGAGAUGUUACAAAGAUUCCAAUACAGCAAAAAGAGGCGUUCUUGAGAUUCCACUUCGAUUGCUGUAUCAACAUAACAUUUACUAUAACUGGAUCCAUGUCAUUUAAGACAAUGUCUUGGAAAUGCAGUCAAUUAAUAUAUUCCGUAAAAGAAUAUCGGAGAGUAUCCAAUCUAUACACAUCAUAAACGGUGUAAAAAUGUUUCAUGGAAAAAACAAAAUAAAAAAAGCAAAGACAAAUACCAACGCCAUCACCACGGUGAUAACAGAUGAUGCUGAUUCAAUAUCUGCGACCAAUUCUAGCCAAAUAUUUGUAAAGCUGGACUCUACAACCUAUACUCUACAACAAAUACCCGGGUAUUCUACAAACACAACCUCCAGCAAUGUAUCUAAGGAAUGUAAACUUCUACAGGCCUUUAAAGACUUUGGAUUACAAAUACAAUUACUAUUUUUAAUUUUGGAUUACAAUUCGUAUCCGGAUCCAUCCAAGUAUAUCUUACUCUGGAACUUGGUGUUCUUUUCAAUUCAUUCCCAGACAAAAGCUUUGCUCAUUUUAAUCAACCACUUUUACAUACAAAGAUCACACUACGGAUAUUUUACUGUUACAACAAUGAUCCAUGAUGCUGGGAGCACAAAAACCUAAAGACAGUUGGAGAACUUUGGUUCACUAAUUUAAGGAAGAAAUGCGCUACAAUGCCCACAGUUUAAUGGAGAGGGUGUUAUGGGCAAAUGCAAAUAUUACAAGUUUUAGAAUGAAAUGUUGUAUUUCUUAAACUGUGUACUUUGUCUUUAAGAUAUAUUGCAAACUGACAAGGUGUUAGAAAUGGAACAUAUUG